rnacentral:rRNA from 1 species
UACGUAGGUGGCAAGCGUUGUCCGGAUUUACUGGGUGUAAAGGGCGUGUAGGCGGGAAGAUAAGUCAGAUGUGAAAUUCCAUGGCUCAACUGUGGCGCUGCAUCUGAAACUAUUUUUCUUGAGUGCUGGAGAGGAAAGCGGAAUUCCUAGUGUAGCGGUGAAAUGCGUAGAUAUUAGGAGGAACACCAGUGGCGAAGGCGGCUUUCUGGACAGUAACUGACGCUGAGGCGCGAAAGCGUGGGGAGCAAACAGG